ensembl:snRNA U1 U1 spliceosomal RNA
AUACUUACCUGGCAGGGGAGAUACCAUGAUCACAAAAGUGGUUCACCAAGGAUGAGGCCCAACCAUUGCACUGAAGAUGUACUGACCCCUGCGAAUUCCCCUAAUGUGGGUAUCUGUACUGCAUAAUUUCUGGUUGGGGGACUGCAUUCGUACUCUCCACU